GAUGAACGCUGGCGGCGUGCCUAAUACAUGCAAGUCGAGCGAAUGGAUUAAGAGCUUGCUCUUAUGAAGUUAGCGGCGGACGGGUGAGUAACACGUGGGUAACCUGCCCAUAAGACUGGGAUAACUCCGGGAAACCGGGGCUAAUACCGGAUAACAUUUUGAACCGCAUGGUUCGAAAUUGAAAGGCGGCUUCGGCUGUCACUUAUGGAUGGACCCGCGUCGCAUUAGCUAGUUGGUGAGGUAACGGCUCACCAAGGCAACGAUGCGUAGCCGGCCUGAGAGGGUGAUCGGCCACACUGGGACGGAGACACGGACCAGACUCCUACGGGAGGCAGCAGUAGGGAAUCUUCCGCAAUGGACGAAAGUCUGACGGAGCAACGCCGUGUGAGUGAUGAAGGCUUUCGGGUCGUAAAACUCUGUUGUUAGGGAAGAACAAGUGCUAGUUGAAUAAGCUGGUACCUUGACGGUACCUAGCCAGAAAGCCACGGCUAACUACGUGCCAGCAGCCGCGGUAA
rnacentral:rRNA from 1 species